rnacentral:rRNA from 1 species
UGGGGAAUAUUGCACAAUGGAGGGAACUCUGAUGCAGCGACGCCGCGUGAGUGAUGAAGGACUUCGAUUCGUAAAACUCUGUUCUAUGGGAAGAAAAGGACUGUACCAUAGGAGAAAGCUCCGGCUAAAUACGUGCCAGCAGCCGCGGUAAUACGUAUGGAGCGAGCGUUGUCCGGAAUUAUUGGGCGUAAAGGGUGCGCAGGCGGCUUUACAAGUUGGAUGUGAAAUAUUGUGGCUCAACCACAAACGUGCAUCCAAAACUGCAAAGCUUGAGUUAAGGAGAGGUAAGUGGAAUUCCUGGUGUAGCGGUGGAAUGCGUAGAUAUCAGGAGGAAUACCGGUGGCGAAGGCGACUUACUGGACUUAAACUGACGCUCAGGCACGAAAGCGUGGGGAGCAAACAGG